GACAACAGUGGGAGUGAAGAGUCAGGGUGCAUCAGAGUCAUCGUAUUUCAGACAUAUCAUGGAGACUGGUCAUUAAUAGCCCUGUCCUGUACAGCAGAGCAGAGAGUCAGGAAAUGAUCUUCAACUAGGGCUAAUCAUCAGUGCAUCAGCCCCUAAGGUAAAGAGGAGUAAUCAAACAUGUCACAGCUCUAAAUGAAGUUCCAUACUGUCAAAGAGUGUUCUGCAGCAUCUAAGCAGAAGGGUGAUGGCUCUGGAGAUUUGUAAUUACCAAGUUCAUGCUGAGGAAAUGAAACAACAUGUCAGUGAGACUGCUUAGAAAGACUUGAAAGGAUAAGUGUGUUGACAAGAACUCUGCUACGGACUGUUUCACUGGGGUCUUUUGGUCUAAUACGGAUAGCACAUGCAGAGCAAUCUUGCUGAGGAGAUCCUGUGAACCCACGUGCUGUCAUCUGGGCACCACACUUUCUUCAGCAAUCACUGCAAACACUCUUUUGGGACAGACUUUCCCACAGAUUUUCUUUUGUAACCCUCCAGGAGGGUUGGUAAAUCAUUGCGUCAUGCAGUCAUUUGUGGAAGUGCAACAGAUGGAGGACCAAACAGUUGCAGACAACCAUCCCAGAGCUGAAACUGCUGUCAUGGGGCACCUUGAGGGAGGCAGCCAUGGUGUAAGGCAGCCCUUUCGAGAAGAUCUGCAAGGAUUCUGGAUCACAAUAUUUGUGAUGGGGUUGUCCUAUGCCCAUAAGCCAGGCUGCACUAGUCCUGCUGAGCAGAGGGCUCGAUCUGGUCCUGGUGGUUCUCCAACCUUGGAGGUCUUGGCUCCAUUCUCCGAUAUCAUCUCCACUUGCUGAGUCUGGAAAUCUUUUAGGAUUUUACUUUGGAAGAAGCCAUAUGAUCGAUGGAGCAAACUGUCAGGAGCUAUUAGACAAAAUAAUGCUGGCUGUAUGUAGCAGCCCUCCUGCAAAUCUUGGACACCUUUCACAUACCAGAAUCCUGAGGCCCAAACUGUGGAAUUUUCCUCGGCUCUCAUGGGAUGCAAGGUGUAUUGUGUUUCUAGUGAAUUUUGAGUUUGGCCUUUGGACAAACUACAGAGAUCCAAAUCAGACACCACACACUCCUACUGGCAGGAGAAAAUGACAAAAUGGUAGUGCAGAGUUUGCAUCAGAGCUUACAGAUCCUUUCUUUCCCUGAUGUACAAACAAAAGGAGUUUGCACAGCUGUGUUUCCCAUAGAGGCAAGUAAAACCCAUCUCCACCAACUAGUGAAGAAAACUCUAUGGCCAGGGACACUUGCCCUGCAAGAGGACUCAUAGUUCUGAAGACAUUAAUCAUGGGAUUAAUGGGUUUUCAGGUCUUUAUAUUUCCUUGGAUCAAAUUACCCUCCUCUCCCCCAGCAAAGAUAUCUUAUUCUCUCUAUUCUCUGAAUCUAAAGGUCUUGAAACUUUUCUUUCAAUCUCCAUCCUCUGGCUGGUAGCUACAUGGAGGAAUCCUCCACUCCAUGAACAGGCCCAGUGUGAUGGCAGUGUCUCCUGCUACGAUGCUCUCAUACCCGUGGGGUACAGCCAUCUACAGACCUGCCAAGUCUGCUUCUGGAGAUGAUCUGGAAGUAGAAACACCAUUCACUCUAGCAAAAAAGAAUGACAAAUUUCUAAUACAGAUUUCCUCUCUGUGCGAGAGAGACAUGUCAGGUAUGUCAGAGGAGAGAAAAACAAUUCAGGCUGAAAAUUUCCAAGUUCCCUUGAGAUCUCCCUUCAGUUCUGGAGGUUUCAUUACAUGCACUGUAUCAGAGAUAUUGGGGGGGAGGGGGAAAUUUGCGUGUGAGUUUGUGCGGACCCACCACAUUGCUGAUAAGUGUAACAACUGCCCUGCUCUUAAUACUCAUAUGACUGUUACGACAGCUUGCUUUCCUGUGACAAUAAGGAGCCAGUUUCAGGCUUUUGGGUUUUGUGGUCUAGUUAAGUCUAACAGACAGUUCUGGGGGAAGUACUACAGCCAACACAAACUUGUGUCUUCUUUGAAAGGUUUGUUAUUUUAUUACAUAAUAAAGAGAGCUCCACUUCUGACUCA